rnacentral:rRNA from 1 species
AGCUCCAAUAGCGUAUAUUUAAGUUGUUGCAGUUAAAAAGCUCGUAGUUGGAUUUCGGGUGGGGUGGUGCGGUCCGCCUCUGGUGUGCACUGCUCUGCUCCACCUUCCUGCCGGGGACGGGCUCCUGGGCUUCACUGUCUGGGACUCGGAGUCGGCGAGGUUACUUUGAGUAAAUUAGAGUGUUCAAAGCAGGCCUACGCUCUGAAUACAUUAGCAUGGAAUAACACGAUAGGACUCUGGCCUAUCUGUUGGUCUGUGGGACCGGAGUAAUGAUUAAGAGGGGUAGUCGGGGGCAUUCGUAUUCCGUUGUCAGAGGUGAAAUUCUUGGAUUUACGGAAGACGAACAUCUGCGAAAGCAUUUGCCAAGGAUACUUUCA